rnacentral:rRNA from 1 species
GAUGAACGCUGGCGGCGUGCCUAACACAUGCAAGUCGUACGAGCCGUUUCGGCGGUUAGUGGCGGACGGGUGAGUAACGCGUAAGUAACCUGUCCUUAAGUGGGGAAUAACUCUGAGAAAUCGGAGCUAAUACCGCAUGUGGUGGUGCCUCGCGAGAGGUAUGACUAAAGCCGUAAGGCGCUUGAGGAGGGGCUUGCGUCCGAUUAGCUUGUUGGUGGGGUAAAGGCUUACCAAGGCUUCGAUCGGUAGCUGGUUUGAGAGGAUGAUCAGCCACACUGGAACUGAGACACGGUCCAGACUCCUACGGGAGGCAGCAGCAAGGAAUAUUGGGCAAUGGGCGAAAGCCUGACCCAGCGACACCGCGUGGAGGAAGACGGCCUUCGGGUUGUAAACUCCUUUUAUCGGGGAAGAAUAAUGACGGUACCCGAUGAAUAAGCCCCGGCUAACUACGUG